rnacentral:rRNA from 1 species
CAGUCGCCACGGUAACACGAAGGGGGCAAGCGUUGUUCGGAAUUACUGGGCGUAAAGGGCGCGUAGGCGGUGUACUAAGUUAGGCGUGAAAGCCCUGGGCUCAACCCGGGAAUUGCGCUUGAUACUGGUACGCUAGAAUCCAGGAGAGGUUGGUGGAAUUCCCAGUGUAGAGGUGAAAUUCGUAGAGAUUGGGAAGAACACCAGUGGCGAAGGCGACUUUCUGGACGAAAACUGACGCUGAGGCGCGAAAGCCAGGGGAGCGAACAGGAUUAGAUACCCGCGUAGUCCCUGUCUCUUAUAC